AUUAAAAAGGUUACAAUUUGGAUGGGCGGGCAAAUAUUUCCGCUCUCCACAUUUUAGGGUUUUGAAUAGUCCCAAAAUUACCCGCUGAUUCAUAUUCCACCUUCCUGUUGUCCCACGCCUUCAUUCACUUCCCAAAUGCUAGGGUUUUGUGUUUGCUUGUGACAGGGAGGUAGCGAGCGAUACAGAGAGAAGCGACACUCAUGGCGGAAGCAUACGAUGGAGAAACAUUCCUUGAGGUUAAUUUCUGACCAAAUCAACGUCAUCAAAGACACAACUAUGCCACAAUCUCGAGGCAGCCUACAGGUGGAAUCAACAUCGACCACCACUGUAGACAUACAUCCGCCUCUGCCUAACAUGGAUUGUUAAAUCAACAGCCAACAGGUUCAAAGAAAAAGGCAAAACUAGUGCAAUCAUACAACAUAACUAUCACAGACACACUCUCAAUCCGAAGAAUACCGUGUUUGCCUCAACUAAGCUUGAAAAAAGAAGGAACGGUUGCAGUCAAGAAGCAAAGAAACAACUAAGGAUAACUCCAGCCACUCCCUGAUGCAAAGCUGCUCACGCCAAAAAGACAAACAGAAGAAUCACCAGAUUGAAAAGUUGAAAUUGGUUAUCAAGGAGCUCUUUAAGGAAAAGGAUGAAGAAAAAAAGAAGAUUAAAUGGAAUUAUUGUGCGGUUGUUUGCUGUAAAAGAAAAAGAUAAGUUGGAUAAAGAUGUCAUGCUCAACAGGAUGCCACCGUUGAAGCUAUCACGCUUCGAAAAUAGGCUAUAAACACUUGGUUUUGAAUGUUUCGAUGUUUAUUAUAUUAGGAUGCUUUUUAGUUAUUUGAUGUUUUAGUUUGUAUUUUUAUUAGAAUGUUUUAUAUGAUUUUGAAAA